GCUUAGCCCUUAACAUAGACAGUAUGAACACGAUACUGUCCGCCAGAGAACUACAAGUGAAAAACUAGAAACUCCAAGGACUUGGCGGUGCCCCACAUCAACCUAGAGGAGCCUGUCCUAUAAUCGAUAAUCCACGUUAUACCUUACCAUUUCUCGUAAUUUCAGCCUAUAUACCGCCGUCGAAAGCCUACCUUAUGAAAGGAAUAAAGUAAGCAAAACAGUUAGCAACUAAAACGUCAGGUCAAGGUGUAGCACACGAAAUGGAAGAGAUGGGCUACAUUUUCUACCACAGAAAAUACGAACAGCACAAUGAAACUUGCUCUCGAAGGCGGAUUUAGCAGUAAGACAAAAAAGAAACUUUGUCUUAAACCCGCU
rnacentral:rRNA from 1 species